rfam:Serratia sp. DD3 SRDD_contig000016, whole genome shotgun sequence.
AACAGGGGGCAUCCACCGCAAAAAAGAGUGAGCCGGCUGCACCAAUAAAUGGGCGGCCGGCGAAC